UACGUAGGGUGCGAGCGUUGUCCGGAAUUACUGGGCGUAAAGAGCUCGUAGGUGAUUUGUCGCGUUGUCCGUGAAAACUCACAGCUUAACUGUGGGCGUGCGGGCGAUACGGGCAGACUGGAGUACUGCAGGGGAGACUGGAAUUCCUGGUGUAGCGGUGGAAUGCGCAGAUAUCAGGAGGAACACCGGUGGCGAAGGCGGGUCUCUGGGCAGUAACUGACGCUGAGGAGCGAAAGCGUGGGGAGCGAACAGG
rnacentral:rRNA from 1 species